rnacentral:rRNA from 1 species
ACGGCAGCACGGGAGCAAUCCUGGUGGCGAGUGGCGAACGGGUGAGUAAUAUAUCGGAACGUGCCCAGUCGUGGGGGAUAACGCAGCGAAAGCUGUGCUAAUACCGCAUACGAUCUCUGGAUGAAAGCGGGGGACUCAGCAAUGGGCCUCGCGCGAUUGGAGCGGCCGAUAUCAGAUUAGCUAGUUGGUGGGGUAAAAGCUCACCAAGGCGACGAUCUGUAGCUGGUCUGAGAGGACGACCAGCCACACUGGAACUGAGACACGGUCCAGACUCCUACGGGAGGCAGCAGUGGGGAAUUUUGGACAAUGGGCGCAAGCCUGAUCCAGCAAUGCCGCGUGCAGGAUGAAGGCCUUCGGGUUGUAAACUGCUUUUGUACGGAACGAAACGGCUCCUUUUAAUAAAGGGGGCUAAUGACGGUACCGUAAGAAUAAGCACCGGCUAACUACGUGCCAGCAGCCGCGGUAAUACGUAGGGUGCGAGCGUUAAUCGGAAUUACUGGGCGUAAAGCGUGCGCAGGCGGUGAUGUAAGACAGAUGUGAAAUCCCCGGGCUCAACCUGGGACCUGCAUUUGUGACUGCAUCGCUAGAGUACGGUAAGGGGGGGAUGGAACUCCGCGUGU